rnacentral:lncRNA from 1 species
CUUAACAAAUAAUGUGCAUGUAUGGUCUCUCUUGAGGAAAAUAAAUCCUAGCCAUGGUAAGCAAAGGGAAACAAGGAAAGGAGGUAAGUAAUCUUCAUGCAUAUAUUCUUCACUGCAAUGCUUCAAAAUAGGGGUCUAGAGUAAGAGCUUAAGUGGAAAUAAGGAUCAAGUAGCAAAGAAAGCUUAUUUGACUAUGUUUAUUUGCUUGAGGACAAGCAAAAGGCUAGGUGUGGGGGUAUUUGAUAGAGCAUAUUUUAGUCCAUUUUAUCAUUAUGUUCUUGAUGUUUAUUUACAUCU